GUUAAUGGAAUAAAAAUUCAGCAUUUUGAAGGAAUGGAAGGGGCUACUGGAGAGACAAGCUAAGUGGGACAAAUUUGAGAGGAGAGUUAGUGCUCAAUUAAAAUAAUGAAGGAGCAUGGACUAAAUGGAGGCUUAAAUAGGAAAUAAGGAGCAAAUAUUUGGGCCAAUUAGAAUCAAGGUGGAGGCAGUUACACCAAUUAGAGGAGGAAAAGAGGGAUCCGUUCCAUUUCAUUUCCAUACUCAGAACAUUUUCUUUCCUUAUCAUAUUGCAAAGCAAGAAAAAGAACUAAGGAGAGCUAGCUGAGAAGAGAGGGAGCUCGGAUGGCUACCAUGGGAGGAGAGAAAACCAACUAGCAAAACUAAACUCCAUCAACAUCAUCCUCCAUCUUCAUCUGCUCCACCAAAAGCUUCAUAUAUUCUAGAGAGAAAAAGAAAUGAGUGGAGAGUUUAAGCCUUGAUAAGGCUACGGGAGGAUUCAUGGAAGAAGAUAUGAUGAUUCUAGCAAGAUCUAGCAAAGCAUCUAGCAUCUUAGAGGAAGAAAUCUAAGAAGUAAGUUCUUUAAAACCCUAACUCUUAUUUAUAUCCCUAAGUUUCAUAUCUUGUUAGAUCUUAUUGAUAUUUUGAGUUAUGGGUUGAGGAACAUCAUAAGGAUGAUGUUCAAAAGUUAUAUGAACCAUUAAAAGCAUCCAAGUGGAAUCAAACAAGCAAAAAUUCGAUCCUAUGCAUAAAGGAUGAACAUAUGGUUAAAAGAACAUGAAUGGACUGUUAUGGACCGAGUUUGAGGACAUUUUGUGGUUGUAUUUUACGUUUAAAAAUUUAAUACGAAAGUGGUAUAUUAUACUUCUUUGUGUUAUAAAGAUAACCCAGUUGGAAUGAACCAAAACGGAGUUAAAAUAAAUCCGUGGUAUGAUUUUAGUAAAACAUGUAAAACGAACAAGUUAAAACUAUUUUUGGGGGCUGUUCUUGAGCCAAUGUUUAUGAUGGUCUAGAAUGGAGAAUUAAGUUUUGUUAUGGUGGGUUGUGCUCUUUAGAGUUACGGAUAUAACCCAAUUGGAAUGAAGCAAAAAGAAGCUAAAACGAAUUUAUAGUGAAUGUUUUAGUAAAACAUGUAAAAACUGAAAAUUUGUAGACUGCUGACCCUAAGGAAAAAUUUAGCUAGAAUUUCUAGAAAAUUCUGGAUUUCUAGGGUAGUAUAGUAAACUGAAUAAGGAAGCCAUAGCCUUUGGAACGGACCCAUUCCGAGUUCGGACGAGCGAGUUAUGGCGUUCUACAGUAAACACAUCAAAACUGUCCAAUUUGGAAAAUCAGAUCCAGACUUGUCUCUUGUAUGAAUUUUCUGUACUUGUGUGUUCCAAAUUUGAAAAUGGUUAAAGCAUAAAAGUUGUAUCCCCGGAAGUUAGCUAUGCGUGGGCGCAAAAAUCGUUCAAAAAUAUUUUGAAAUGAAUUAGUUAAUGAUUGUUUUAGCGAGAGAGGGUAAAACUGGAAAAAAAUUGAAUAACUUAACUGUCCAAAUAUUUGUGUGGCUAUUUUAGGGUAGUUGGCAUGUACCAAAAAUUAGGGCCUUUUGUGUGCUGAAAGUACACAUUAUCAGGAAGUUCCAGUCCAAAAAUGGGCUCAAUCCGACUUUUGAGGCGAGAGUUAUGACCAACUGAAAAUUUAAGAAUUAAAACUUGAAACUGAUAAAUAUGAACCUACACAACCCAGAAAAUUAUGAAAUAUUAACGGGAAGUGCGUGAUGAUACGAAGAAGGUUCCAUGUAAAUUUUAGGAUGUUUGGGUAAAGACUAAAUUUAUUAAAAAUGCUGCAAUUUUGAGCAUUAAUGGCCUUUUAAGAAAAUAGUAAAUAAAGCUGAAAAAUUAAGGGAAAAAUAUUUUGCGUGUAAAAUAUUUUUACCUAAGUAUGGCCAAAAAGGAUAAAAAUAAUAAGGUAUCUAAGUGUCAUUGAUAAAUAUGUUGUGGUCAAAAAAGUAAGAAAGAAAUAAUUAAAUAUUGAUUGAUAAGUUAUAUAAUGUAAUUUUUUGACUUAUUUGUAAUAGAAAUGGAUGAACAAAGACUAAGGACGGGUAAUAUGAUUAUCCCUAUAUUAAUAUUAUAAUUUGAUAAUAAAUAUCGGGUAUGCAAUGAAGAAUGAUGUACGAGGAAUGUUAAGCGAUGAAAGAGGUUGCGCAAUGGACGUUCGAUGAGCAUUUUGAGAUAAGCAAAAUCAAAGGCAAGUUUUUCAGUACUUGUUGCUUUGUGUUAUGUGAAAAUCUUGUGAGGUUAUUAUGUGCAUUAAGUGUUGCAAAUGCGAUGUAAACUGUUAAUAUUCAGUUGAUGAUCGAUAUUAAUUGUUCUAUGUGAACCUUAUAACAUGAGAAAUGUAAUAUUUGUAUAGAAUACAAAGUAUGAAUCAGUAUGAUAAAGAUGGAGUAUGUAUGAAACACGGUGUAUGAAUAAAGACAAAGUAUGUAUAAAUGUGUUGUAUGAUGAAAAAUGAAGCAUGUAUAAAUGCACUGUGAGACCCCGAAUUUUAUGAAUAAAGAUUUAAAUUUUUCGAAAUAUUUUUUUUCAAAAUUAUGGUGUGAAUUUGAUAUAAUGUUAUAGUUGUGGAUAAUAUUUAUAAAUUUUACAAAGUAUGCAAGUUGUUAUAUAAUAUUCAAUUGGUCAGGGAAUAUUCGUACGACGGCAAAAUCAUUGGUGGACCCCACAACGGAAUUAUUGUCGGAUUGAAAAACGACAAAAAUAUUUUUAUGAAAAUAACGGCGAAAGUUUUACCGUUAAAACUGUUGAACUAUUCGGUAGUAAAAGUAUAGUAAUACGCGUGGUUACAUAGUAGCACACGGUAUUAAUUAUUGAUGCUUACGUGAGAAGUCACUCAGUUUUGUUCAAUUAUUGCUACAGUAAUUGUUGCAUAGUAUCUCACGUUAUUUGAUUCAAUUAUUGUCGAUAUUUUAUAUAUUAUUAAAUCAAUAAUUGAGAUGACAGAGUUAUUAAUAUUAUUAUUUGCAAUAUUAACGAUGUCUAGAAGUUCUGCCAAGGAGAGGUUUGGUCACCUAAUAUCACGUCAAUAGGGAGAAAUCCUUAUUGAAAAGCCCCCUCUUUUCUGGGAACGACCUGGUCGAUUAAUAUUGUGAAUUAUAAUAAUGAUGAUAAAUGUUGUUAAUUAUAUUGAGGUGUCUUUUUAUGAAGUCACGAAAGUUUAUAUAUAUAUAUAAAUUUUGUUUUAUUUGUAUUAUUAAUGUAAUAAAACAGAAAACUUUUUAUAUAAAAUAAAAUACUUUUAUAAAGUUAUUUGUUUUAUUAGACUAUAAAUAGAAUAUAUUAUAUUCUAUUAUGCAUAGUGUUUUGCAUAGUAAAAUNNNNNNNNNNNNNNNNNNNNNNNNNNNNNNNNNNNNNNNNNNNNNNNNNNNNNNNNNNNNNNNNNNNNNNNNNNNNNNNNNNNNNNNNNNNNNNNNNNNNNNNNNNNNNNNNNNNNNNNNNNNNNNNNNNNNNNNNNNNNNNNNNNNNNNNNNNNNNNNNNNNNNNNNNNNNNNNNNNNNNNNNNNNNNNNNNNNNNNNNNNNNNNNNNCUUCUGUUAUUCCAUUCUUUAUUAUUAUGUUGGAAUAACCUGUCUAUGCGAAGUACCGCAUACAUGGUGAAAUUCUUCUGUUAUUUCAUUCUUUAUUAUUAUGUUGGAAUAACCUGUAUAUGCGAAGUACCGCAUACAUGGUGAAAUUCUUCUGUUAUUCCAUUCUUUAUUAUUCUGUUGGAAUAUCCUGUUUGUGCGUAUUACGCAUGACCUGGUUCUAUUAUUUAUUAUUCUGUUGGAAUAACCUGUCUAUGCGGUCUAUCGCAUGCCUGGUGAAGUCUUUUGUUAUUUCAUUCUUUAUUAUUUUGUUGGAAUAUCCUGUCUGUGCGUUUACGCAUGACCUGGUUCCAUUAUUUAUUAUUCUGUUGGAAUAACCUGUCUGUGCAGUCUAUCGCAUGCAUGGUGAAGGCUUUUGUUAUUUCAUUCUUUAUUAUUAUGUUAGAAUAUCCUGUCUGUGCGUUUACGCAUGACCUGGUUCCAUUAUUUAUUAUUCUGUUGGAAUAACAUGUCUUUGCGGUCUAUCGCAUGCAUGGUGAAUUCUUCUGUUAUUCCAUUCUUUAUUAUUCUGUUGGAAAAACCUGUCUAUGUGGAUUAUCACAUGCAUGGUGAAUGACCCUUCGUAUUCAUUUCUUAUUAAAUUAUGGAAAUGAUCUGUCUACGUGGAUUACCGCAUGGCGGGCGAAAAUCCAUUUGUAGUUUCAUAUAUUCUGUUAUACUCAGUUGGUUAAAGUUUUGACUUCUAUACUCAAUGAAAUUAGUGGAAUAUCUUUGAUAUUUGCGCUUCAUCCAAUAUCUUUUCAUGAAAAUAUUCUUUUGAGCAUUCUUGAAUUUUACUCUACAAAGCAGUAUCAUGUUAACAAUUUGAACGUUAUUGAAUUCUGGAUAAAUUAAUUCUUGAACUUGUUUUAUUGGAUUCUUAUAUCAUUGGGGAUAAGGUUCAAAAAUUUCCUUGACUUUUACCGCGAUGUCUACCGAGCACCUUAUACUUUUUUUUUGUCCAAAAGUACACUUAACGUUAUAAUUUUUGGGUCGAUCGUGCCCCUGCCGUUAACAAAUCUGCCAACUAGACUAACGGAUGUUAAUGUGGCUGACACAUGACAAUAUUUACUGACGUGUACAAAAAUUCAUUAACACAAAUAAUUAAAAAAAUCUAAUUAAUAAACAAAAUUAAUUUUUAAAAUCUAAUUAAAAAAAUUAAUUUUUUAAAUCUAAUUAACACAAUAUUAAUUUUUUAUUUUAUUUUUCUUUAAAACAAAAUAAAUAAUUAAUAAACAAAAUAAAUAUUUAUAUUUAAUAAACAAAAUAAAUAUUUGUAUUUAUAUUUAAUUCAUUAACAACAAAUUAAUUCAUUAAUUCACUAGACUCUCCUGAGCAAAUUAAUUAAGCUCAUCUGGAAGAAGAAGAAGCAGCAAGCUACCCUCAUGGCGCUUUCAUCAUUCGUGUCCACCACGAUUCCAAGCCCUCCAUUUUCCCCACCCACAUUCACCGGUACCAAUCCUCCCUCCAAUCUCUUUCCCCCACCCCUACCCCUACUACUCAACUCAUCAUCAUCCACACUUACGACACCGUUUUUCACGGUUUCUCANNNNNNNNNNNNNNNNNNNNNNNNNNNNNNNNNNNNNNNNNNNNNNNNNNNNNNNNNNNNNNNNNNNNNNNNNNNNNNNNNNNNNNNNNNNNNNNNNNNNUCUUUCCCCCACCCCUACCCCUACUACUCAACUCAUCAUCCAACAAAGCUCUCGCCUUUACAGGCUUAGAAGCUCUGUUCCCUCUCUGGCAUCCUUGCCGUUAUCCCCGAGCAGGUUCGCCAGCUUCAUACCACUCGAUCCCUUCAAUUUCUGGGCCUAAAGACCACGGUUAGUACUGCUUUGCUCAGAGAGUCCGACUUCGAUUUGGAUCUAGUCAUUGGGGUCAUCGAUACCGGCAUCUGGCCCGAGAGGCAGAGCUUCAACGAUCACGACCGACCUGGGACCCGUGUCGCUGUCACAAUAAACGCCGACGAAGUUACAGGGGUCGGCCGUGAAAUCCCAAGAGGCAAAAUAAUUAGAGCUGGGCAUAUCAUCUAAAGAUUUUCGAAUAGUUUGAAGAGAGAGAAAAUCAGUUGGGUCCAACAUUGGAAACACUAAUACACUUUGGUGAAGAAAAAUUAAUAGAGCACAUAGAAAAAAUCCCAUCUUUUUCAGUCCUAUUUACAAUGGAAGCUAAAUAGAGCAACAGAGCUAUAUAUAGAGAGAAAAUGGUGAAGCUUUUUCGCGAGGGGGUAAUUGGGGGAAGUGUAAAUGGAAAUGGAAAACUGCGAAAGCUUUAAUGGAAAUGCAAGAAGAAGAAAAAAAGAAAGAAAAAGAAGAUUCAGAAGCGAGAGAAAGUGAAAUCUUGGGGGGAAGCAAUGGCCUCUUGAUCUUCUUGAUUCUUCUUCUACAAUUUUUCUUACUCAAAUGGAAGAAAUGGUGUUGAAUUUGGCUUGUGACAGAAGGAUCAAUGAAUUAAAUAUAAAUAUAAAUAUUUGUUAUUUGUGUUAAUGAAUUAAAUAUAAAUAUAAAUAUUUAUUUUGUUUAUUAAAUAUAAAUAUUAAUUUUGUUUAUUAAUUAUUUCUUUUAUUUUUCUUUAAAACAAAAUAAAUAAUUAAUAAACAAAAUAAAUAUCAACAAAUAUUGCCAUGUCAGCAAAUAUUGCCACGUGGCAGCCACGUCAUAGAGGCUUUAACACCCGUUUGUCUAGUUGGCACAUCUAUUAACGGGAGGGACACGAAUGACCCAAAAAUUGUAACGUUAAGGGUAUUUUUACACAAAAAAAAGUAUAGGGUGCUCGGUAGACAUUGGAAAAAAUGUCAGGGUCAUUUUUGGACCUUAUCCCUAUAUCAUUAUCAUCAUCUUCAUGCUUAUAUUAUGUUGAAAGUCAUCUGUGGUCUGUUGUGCAUAGAUGGAUUUGGUAUGAUUAUAACCAGGGAUUAUUCGAUAUAAUCAUGACCGUAAUGUUACAAAUGAUGUGGUAAAAGUCCUCAUUGGCCCAUAGUGCAUUGAUGGACAGUUGUUGGCAUGAUCAUGACCAUUGAUGAAUACACGAAUAUCCUUGGCCUGUAGUGCAUGGAUAAUUUGUGGUUGUGAUAGUAAUGAAUAUCCUUGGCCGUAGUGCAGGGAUGAUGUGGAUUAUUUAUUAAGCUCAGUCUCAGCGAUAAAAGUGAUGAAAAACCUUUUAAAUCAUAAAAGAUAGUAGAUUUUAUUCUNNNNNNNNNNNNNNNNNNNNNNNNNNNNNNNNNNNNNNNNNNNNNNNNNNNNNNNNNNNNNNNNNNNNNNNNNNNNNNNNNNNNNNNNNNNNNNNNNNNNUGUACCAUAUAUUUGGCAACUCAAGAUGGGUGAUGUAUACCUAUUUUGGGGGCGUCACAUGCACAGUAUGAGAAAAAUAGAGCGUGUAUAAAAUGCAAAUUAUGAAAAAUGUGAAGCAUGUUAAAAUGUGAAUUAUGUGUUAUGUGAUAACUGUUAAACUUGCUGGGCAACAUGGUUGCUCAACCAUGGUAUAAAUAAUUGUUUUCAGAUAAGCCAAAGUAGACCGAAGAAUUCGGUAAAGACAAUAAAGGAUUAGUUAAAGAUUGAAGAUGGAUUGGUAUUAAUUGUAAUAUUACUAUAGAUGUAUUAUUGUACUGAGUAUUAGAUUGAUGUAUUAGUAACGGUCUUCGUACGUGGGAGUAAAAUGUAAGACUAUGUGGUAGGUUUGUAAGGAUAAUGUAUUUAUUUUACGUUAUAAUGAGAUGUCUAGAAGAUGUAUUGUAUGGGUAAUACAAUGAUGCACUGGAUCCGGGCUUAAAGACAAGACCUGAGUUUCGGGGUGUUAUAUGGUUCCUCCACCCCAAAAGGUAGGACCGAAAAUAAUAGAUUGUAUAUUCAUUGGGUAUGCUAAUAAUAUUAGUGCAUAUAGAUUUUUUGUUAAAAAAUCAAAAAUAGAGGAAAUACAUGAAAAUAUUAUUAUUGAGUCAAAAGAUGUUGAAUUCUUUAAAACAAUACUUCCUAAUAAAAAGGAACAAGAGCAAAGUUCUAAUGAACAAGAAACAUGUUCAAACAAAAGAACUUAUGACACUGUUAGUUAUAGUGAUCAUGGAUUAGAAUAUAUUAAUGAAUCUAGACAUAGUAAAUGUGCUAGAAUAUCAAAACCUUAUGGGCCGAAUUUUCUAACUUAUUAAGAAAAUGACCCUCAAACUUAUAGAGAAGGGGUAUCGAGUCCCGAAGCUCCAUAUUGGAAAGAGACUAUUGUGACAACCCUAAAUUCAGAUACAUGUACUUCGAAUCUGGUACUCUGCGAUCCCAAGUCUCGCAACCAUUACUAAUACUUUACACAACUUAACCCAUAGCAUAACUUAAUACAUAACCAUAUUUAAGUCUUAAAACAACAAAAGAAUUGAAUCCUAACAUAAAGGACCAAAGCUACUCCAUAGCCUUGUCGAUCUUUUCCCUUAUCCUUGUCUGAUGUUCCGCACUGUUCCACAUUAACUGAAAUGUUUAAGGAAAGCAAGAAUGAGAAAAAAAAUUGACUAGCAAGUAAUAUAACAAUAAACGUGAACAAGUAUACGUAAAGCUCAUAAUUUCAAAGGGUAUAACGAUAACUGAUAGCUAAGGAACUUAAAGAAAAAUGUUGUGAACAAGGAAAUCUUAAUAGUUCCAAAUCUUGUCCUUUGAAUUUGAAUAAUGAGUCAUUAUAGAUCGAAGGAUUAUUAAAAGAAUUCAAAGGUCUCAACGUUUCUAAAUGGAUUAAAUUUUAAUAUUGAGCAGUCAUGACCAAUAACUCCUGCUAAAAUUAUCAGUAUUUCACUGAUAACCCAAUUUAAACAAGUACAAUAGGUGAUCAGCUUAAAGUACCUUACGUUAUGCAUAACAUUUCAACAUGAUGUUCACACGUGAGUUGGUUUCCCAACAUAAUAUAUUUUCCCCUUCUAUGAGGGUUAUUCAUCUCAGCAAAUUUAUAAGAGUCUACACCAAAGCAAUUGGUUUUGAUAACUUUCUAACUCAUAGAUAUUGGUCUAACCGAAUCAAAUGGCUUAGACACCUUUCUCAAUACAUUUAAGAACAAUUUGUAAGUUCAAUGAUUGGAACAUGAUUUAAAGAAUAUAAUUAUGAUUUAAAUCAAUUUUCAGAGUAUGAAUAAAAAAUUUCAUGAGUUUAUAUAAUACAAGCAUUCUAUAGAACAAUUUGCUUAUACGAUCAAUAAGUGUACAAGUUCAUAUAUUUGCUCAAUAUAUGGUUGAUAUAACAACAGGAAACUUGCACAAUAUCCAAAGUUGUGUAAGUUAGGGAACUUGCCUUUCGCGUAGAUUAUUACAAUCUUAUAGCUUAACGUCACCUCAAAGUCCUAUAUCAUCAUAUUUAUGUAUAUAUAUGUAUACAUUAGUUAUACAUGAUAUAUACACCAACAUUCCUACACAUCUAUUAAACACAUGUUUAGCCAUGUACGUUAUGUAUAUACAUUCAAUCAUAUAUUCGAUACACAUUUGAACCACAUAGUUGCAUAUUCAGUUUUGUUUUUGUCUUUGAAAGUUUUAUUUAGAAAUUUUUGAAUAUACAUAUGCUUCAAGCUUUAGUCCAUAGUUAAAAGAUGUUGUCAACCUUGCAAUGUGGCGCGACCGCGCUACAUUUUGGCCUGGGAGUGGCGCGGCCGCACUGCUACCUGAUCAGUCAAGAGUUGAGUUUGAGUUUCCUAUUUUCCAGAUUACUUCCUAGCAUACAGGGAUACUGAUACAUAUCAUAUACACAUGUCAAGCAAAUCUAGGCUAGAUUUGACUCCUCUUGUGCUCACUUUAAGUUUACUUUCAACGUAUGGUUUUAUUUUGAAAUUUUCAAUCAACAAGGCUUAAGGAGUUCAUUUCACCAAGGACCAACUAUAUUAGUCCUUAAAGCAUAUAAUGUUGCUACAUAACUUUUAAUACGCAUGCUCAAAUGUAUUCAAGUCAUUUAUUUAUAGUUAACAUGACUUUACAUUUGAAAACCUACUUUAAACCAUGCUUAAAACAACUUAUAUUAUGCCUAACUAGAUGGAUCAACAUAUCAGUCACAUUUAAAAGCAUAAAGAGUCUUAUUAUGCCUGCUUAAAAGGUCAGAAUGCAAUAUCACUAUGCUCAUUAAUGUUUGUUUUCAAAACUUCUAAGUUUUCUUUGAAAAAUUUAUAUUAAACCAAGCCAAGGUAACUUAUUAUAUACAAAGCAACUUGAAUACCAUGUCAGACCUAUUUUCAUACCUAACCAAGUCAAACAUACAUGCCUAGAACAUCAGAAUGCAAAUAAAAAUCAAUUUCAAGCAAUGAGAACCAGCGUGGCUGCGUUGAUUUUCACUGGGGAACUGGCAUAACCGCGCCACUUCGGGACAGACUCAGGAUGUGAUCCAUUUUUGCAGAACUCAAAAUUCCACUACCACCAAACAUUCAUAAAAUGACCAAAUACCUUGAUUUAAAAUAUCCAUACAUCUCAGAUAUCAAAGAAAAUACAAUUCCCAAACUAACUACCAAAUAAUUUUAUACCAAUUUUGAACAUAUCUAAUUCAUAGCCAUUAUAAAAAUAUGCAUUCUUACCUCAUGAUCAUAUAAAUUAACAUAUUUUUUUUAUUCUAUAACUGAUUCAAAUUUAAAGAAACAUAGAUUCAAAUUUAUUCUAGUGAGGUUUUUUUUAUCUCAGAAUACUUCUACUUGUCUUAUUACCUUAUGGAAAUGCAAGAGCUCUCUAAAUACGCCUUUAUCUCUCAACCUCACUGAUUCUCUCUAUAUUGGACUUAAUCAGAAAACUAACAGCUUGAUUUAUGAAGGGGAAGCUCUUAUUUAUAGGAGGACUCUUACCCAAAUGCUGGAUUUUACAUAAGAAUUGAACCAACGUGAAUUAGAAGAAGCUAUUGGUUAAGGAUGAUUUGGUAGAAAGCUUACAACUACUCAUUUCCAACCAUUCCUACUGACAUCAUUUGCUUGGCAAAGUAGGGGGAUAGGCCAAUGACCUAAAGCGACUGAUAACAAGCUAACGGGACUAAACAUAUAUUAACCCUCCAUAUUAGUAAACUUAUUAGACUAUCCAAACCUGAUGGGUUUAAUUGAUUUACAAUAUUGGGCUAUUAUCAUUCUCCAAUUAUUUAGUUUAGGAUAUAAAUUAGUUGGGCUCUAACAUCCUAAUAUGUAAAAAUGAAGAUAUAUAAAAUUUUCUUUUCCUUUUUUUGGGCUUUAAUUAAGGGUGUCACUAUAUUAUUUCCCCAAUAUAUUUAUUCAUCUAAUUCUUUAAUUAUUAUUUUUAAUUAUACUUAAAUUAAACAUUCAUUUUUAAAUUAAUUCCUUCUAUAAUUAAUAUCAAACAUUUAUUUUUUUAAAAUUAAUUACCUUUUAAUUAAUUUACCUCAAGUAGCUAAUCAAUUCAUCUUAUUCCUUAUACCACAUAAGGCAUAUCUCAUAAGCUUAUAUAAGCUCAUAACCAUCCCUACUAAAUUCCUUGAUUAAUUUAAUUAAGUUCUUAAUUAUGUCACACAAAGCUCAUUUCUUUCAAGCUUAGCUAAUUACGUACUCAAGCUUAUUUUUUCAACAUAUAGUCUUACUAAGUAAUUAUUCUCAUACCAUAAUUUUACUCUUAAUAUCACAUCUUAUAUUUUAUGCAUGAUGAAAUUUUAUUAACUAUUUAUAUGAUCACACAACACACAUAAUUGCACAUAACAAAUAAAUAAUUAAAAAUGAUAACAGAAACAAUAAUUCUUCAUUUAAUAAUAAAAAUCUUUUAAAUUUUUCGAGUAUUACAGCUAUAAAUAAUGAAGUAGAAUCCAUUCUGCACAACCAUACGUGGGAAUUAGUAGAUCUCCCACAUGGUUCUAAACCUCUUGGAUACAAGUGGAUUUUCAAGAAAAAAAUAAAAGCAGAUGGAUCUAUAGAUAAAUAUAAAGCAAGACUUGUAAUUAAAGGAUACAAACAAAAGGAGGGAUUAGAUUAUUUUAAUACUUAUUCUCCUGUGAAGAUAAUAUCCUCAAUUAGGAUGUUAAUAGCUAUUGCAGCUAUAUAUGAUUUAGAGAUACAUCAAAUGGAUGUGAAAUCAACUUUCUUAAAUGGAGAUUUAAAAGAAUAAAUCUACAUGGAAUUACCAGAAGGGUUUAUUGUUUCAGGACAAGAAAAGAAAGUUUUUCUGUGACAUCCCGAAUUUUAUGAAAUAAAAGUAUUCAAUUUUCUUAAAAUUAUUCUAUUUAGUAAAUGGUUAAAUUGAUAAAAGGUUAAAGUUAAGGGUGAUAUUUGAAAUUUUUUUCAAAGUAAGCAAGUUGUCAUAAAAUAAUCAGUGAUAAAAGUACAGUAAUACGCGUGGUUGCAUAGUAGCACACGGUAUUGAUUAUUGAUGCUUACGUGAGAAGUCACUCGGUUUUAUUCAAUUAUUGUCACAAUAUUUUAUAUUAUUAAAUCAAUAAUUGAGACGACAAAAUUAUUCAUAUUAUUAUUUGUAAUAUUGACAAUGUCUAGAAGUUCUGUCAAGGAGAUGUUUGGUCACCUAAUUGCGCGCAAAUAAGGAGAAAUCCUUAUCGGAAAGCCCCCUCUUUCCUGGGAACGAUCUGGUUGUUAAUAUUGCGAGUUAUAAUAAUAAUGAAUAAAUGUUAUUAAAAAUCGAAUUUGAGUUCGGAGUUGAAUUUGGAGACGCGGACGUGAUAUUUGAGUCCGAAAUGAUGAAAUUAGUAAAAAUAAACUAUAAACACAAAAUUUGUCGGGGUUAACUUUUUGGUUAAAAAGUCAACAAUUGACUUCUUGGUUAAAAAGUCAACAAUUGACUUUUUUAGAAAAAGUCAACUUCAAAAUUUCAAAAAUAUUUCUAUUGUGUUGGGAUUAUUAGUGUUAGUAGAAAUCGACAGUUAUUUCGAUAAUAAUUAAUGUCUGGAGGUUAUAUUGACCAAUCGGGUAAUUAAUCGGAUAAAUAAGCAAUUAAUUGCUAUUAAUUCACAUGCUUAUAACUAUGUAUUCACAUGUGUGUACUAUUGAUUCACAUGAUUUACUACUAGGGGAGUUGGUGCAAGAUUGAUAAUAUUUGUAUGACUAAAUUAAAAAUGGAGGUAUAGAUGAAGGUACUAUACUAUAAUUAAUUUUUUAAAUGUUUAGAACUAUUGAGUCACAUGAUUUACUAUUGAUUCACAUGAUUUACUAUUAGGGGAGGUGGUGAAAGUUUGAUAAUACUUGCAGGACUAAAUUAAAAAUGAAGGAAAAGAGGAAGGUAUUAAACUAUAAUAUUUCGAGCCCCAAAACGUGUAAUUAUCGAAACUAUAUUUUUCUAUAAAUAGAAGCUCAUUCCUUCAUUAUUUUUCACCAAUUCACUAAAGCUAUAGAACAAUUAUUAUAGAGAGAAAUUAUAGAGAGAAAGAAGAAGAGAAGUCUGCUACCUCACUAUUCCAGUAUCCAGUUUUCUUCUGAGGUAAGGGGUAUUAUUUCUUUCGUAUUCAUGAAGAGAGCUAUUGUUAUUCCAUUCCUUAUUAUUAUGUUGGAAUAACCUGUCUAUGCGAAGUACUGCAUACAUGGUGAAGUUCUUCUGUUAUUCCAUUCUUUAUUAUUAUGUUGGAAUAACCUGUCUAUGCGAAGUACCACAUACAUGGUGAAAUUCUUCUGUUAUCCAUUCUUUAUUAUUCCGUUGGAAUAUCAUGUCUGUGCGGAUUACGCAUGACCUGGUUCCAUUCUUUAUUAUUCUGUUGGAAUAUCCUGUCUGUGCGUAUUACGCAUGACCUGGUUCCAUUAUUUAUUAUUCUGUUGGAAUAACAUGUUUGUACGGUCUAUCGCAUGCCUGGUGAAUUCUUUUGUUAUUCCAUUCUUUAUUAUUCUGUUGGAAUAACCUAUGUAUGUGGAUUACCACAUGCAUGGUGAAUGAUCCUUCGUUUUCAUUCUUUAUUAAAUGGGUUAAGUUCAGAUGACCACCUGGGGUUUGGGCGAUUUUCCACUUAACCACCUGUAGUCAGUAAAGCUACAUUUAAACUCCUGACUUUUUGAGUUGAAGUGAAAGCGUUACCUUUUCCAUCCAACUUAAUUGUGCGUGUAUGUCAGAUGCCAAAAAUGCGUGAGAAGAGGCUGUAACAGUCAAAAAGGACUGAUAAAUGUCUGAAAUACCCCUUCUUCUUCCUAUUUAGCAUUCCUCUCCUCUCCGAUCAAACUUCAGUCUCCUCUCCGAUGCUGCUAGGGAGUAUGAUGGUCUGCUUGCAGCUUCCGCUUAUCAUCCCCAGUCCCAAUUUCUAGGGUUCUUCCCCAAUUUCAAAUCCACGGGUUGAUAAAUUGGGAGACCCAAUUCGUGAUAUACGGAGGCCAUACACUUGGGUCUCCCAAUUUCUCUUCUUCAUCAUUCAUGAAACCCAAAUUGCUUCAUCGCAUCAUCAUCCCUUCUUUUUCUUCUCAAUCUAUCCGCAAAUCGUAGUAGGAUUCCCAAUUUUCUAGGGUUCUUCCCCAAUUUUAAAUCCACCCAAAGAAACUGUGCACGAAAAUCAGAGGAUAAGCUGUUCACCCAAUUACUUAUCUUCUUUCUUUUCGAUCCGUUUUAUAUCUUUGUUGCUUCUCAUAAUUUUCCCUUAUUAUUGGUAAGAAAUUCUUUAUUUUUUGGGAGCUUUUUUCUGAGAUUUUCCUAUUUUUUCCCAUUUCUUUUUACCUAAUUUAAUAAACUGCAUGAAAGCUUGCUGGAAUUUAGUCUCGAUGCAGCCUGUUGUGUUGGAUUGAACUUCUGAAGAAGUCUAAAGUAAGGAAUCCUUAUUAUGAUUAGAGAUAAGACCUCUGAAGAAAUGGAGGAAAAUUAACAGCCCCCCUCUUCUUUUUCUUUUCAAUUUUUAUCCCUAUAUUACUUCCUGCUAAAUCAAUCCAAACCAUUAUCGCCACACUACUAGAAUACACACAACAUAAUAAGUAUAAUUUUUUUAACCAGAUGAACAAUCUUACAUCACACUAGUUCAAGUCCUCUGGUAACUUGAAAUUCCGUGGAGCUUUGAAUGGUUUUACUAGUCCAUUCCUCAUAAAGUCGUCCUCAAUUUUUCAGAAAUGGGAGUUCAGAGGUGGUUUGUUGCGGGGUGAGGCUAAUCGGGUCGAGGUUAUUCGGAGAAAUCUAGGUGAAGUUAGUUUGAAUUUGUUGAAUUUAACUGAUUUUGGGGCUAAAGAGUCCACUGGUUGUACUGGAUUGAAUGAGCAUAAAGGCUACACAAGCCAGUGUGAGUUUUUGACAGCUAAUCCACAAUGCACAUCAGGGGGGCUUCUUGAUUACAUUCGCUUCUUCUCUUGUGGGUGUGAGAAGGUUAAAUUUCUGGGUUAUUUGGCUUUGGGAAUUUGGUUGGUUGCUCUAUUUUAUUUACUGGGUAAUACGACUACAGACUAUUUUUGUUGUUCUCUUGAGAAGCUCUUAAAUCUCUUGAACUUGCCACCCACUGUUGCAGGGGUGACUCUGCUUCCUCUGGGUAACGGGGAGCCCGAUGUGUUUGCGAGCAUUGCUUCUUUUAUGGGAAGUAAUGAUGGAGAUGUUGGACUUAAUAGUGUGUUGGGUGGAGCUGUAUUUGUGACUUGUGUUGUGGUUGCAACUAUUUCCCUUUCCGUGGGGGAGCAACGAGUUCAGAUUGAUAAGAGAUGUUUUAUAAGAGAUGUAUAUUUCUUUCUAUUUGCUUUUCUUUCCCUUCUUGUUAUUUUGAUUAUUGGAAAGUUGAAAGUAGGAGGUGCAAUCGUGUUUCUUUUUAUUUAUGUUGUUUAUGCAUUCUCUAUAGUUGUACAUGAGAUUUUGAGAAAAGAUUCGUCAAGGUUGAAGCUAGAUUACUCACAUGUUCUCUCAUCUGUCGUUUAUAUAUAAGGAGGGUAAUUAAGUUUUUAUCCAACUUAAGUAACAGAGUUAUGACAGAAGGCAAUUAUUCACUUUAACUCAAAAAGUCGGGAGUUUAAAUGUAGCUUUACUGACUACAGGUGGUUAAGUGGGAAACCGUCCAAACCCCAGGUGGUCAUUUGAACUUAACCCUUAUUAAAUUGUGGAAAUGAUCUGUCUACGUGGAUUACCGCAUGUCGGAUGAAAAUCCAUUUGCAGUUUCGUAUAUUCUAUUAUGCUCGUAUGAGAUAUCAUUUCUUUUGUAAUCGUCAUGGAAUAUCAUUUUCUUUGGUAUUUUUCUUUUACGAGUUACUAUUCACGGGUUACUAUUCACUCGGGUAUUCGGGGCACUUUUCGUGUCGGAGUACUAUUCACGAGUUACUAUUCACGGGUUACUAUUCACCCAAUUACUAUUCACUCUAGUAUUAUUCACUCGGGUAUUUGAGACACUUUUCAUGCCGGGGUACUAUUCACGAGGUACUAUUCCCGAAGUACUAUUCACGGGAUACUAUUCACCUAAAAAAUAUAUUUCUUUUAUGUCCAAAUUAUUUUUGGUACAUGAAUAUUAUUCUUGAAUUUUACUCCACAAAGUAGUGUCAUGUUGACAAUUUGGAUAUUUUUAAACUCUGGAUAAAUUAAAAGUCUUUAAUAUUUAUCCUUGACAUCGUUUGAUUAAUGCUUAUAUCAUUGUCAUCAUCCUCAUGCUUAUAUUGUGAUGAAAGUUAGCUUUGGCUUACGUGCAUAGAUGGACUGUUGAUUAUUGGUUUUACAGUUGUAUAUUUUUGGCUUACGUGCAAAGAUGGACUGUUGAUUAUUGGUUUUAUAGUUGUAUAUCUUUGGCUUACGUGCACAGAUGGACUGGUGUAUGACAUGAUCAUAACCACUGGUGAUAAUAACGAAUAUCCUUGGCCCGUAGUGCAUGGAUAAUUCAAUGAUGUGAUUGGCAGGAUCAUGACCAUUAGUUAACAGUUGAAUGUCUUUGGCCGUAGUGCACUGACAGAAAAUUGAUUGGUAUGAUCAUGACCAUUGGUUUUAUAGUUGAAUAUCUUUGGCCCGUAGUGCAAAGGUAGCCAACUGAUUGGUAUGAUCAUUGUUAUUACAUUUGAAUAUCUUUAGCCUUUGGGGUAAGGAUAUUGAGUAAACGUUCUAUUAAGCCGUUGUGGCAAUGAGAAACUAUUGAUUUACAUAAUUAUAAAUAGGAAUUGUGGAUUUAACUAUAAUCUUUGGUGGUUAAGGUGAAGACAGGUGAUGAUAGUUCUUUUUGUCUUGGGUAUAACAAAGAACUGUUGAUGGGCAUUACAACGAUAAAGUUGAUGAAAAACUUUUUAAAUCAUAGAAGAUAGUAGAUUUUAUGCUCUACUUGACUCUUCUAAUGGAUUGCUUAUUCCGAUGCAGUUGUUGAUCUAAAAUUGUUGUCUAUUGUAUUCUAUCAGUUGUUAUACUGUUGAAGGCUAAGGAUAAUUUAUUCUGCAUUAUCUUAGUCAUAAUAUUUCUUACUGGGCUAGUUGAGCUCACCCUUUCUUUCACUGUUCUUUUCAGGAAAUGAGAAUAUAGCUGGGACGAGUCGGGGAAUGGAUUGACGGUCCAGAUGGUUGUUUUAGUAGUCCUCACUAUUCUGUGAAAUAGUGUGAUAAUAAUUGUAAUGAGGACUCCAUUGAGAGUGGAUAUUGUCUAGAAGACAAUAUUCUUGUUUAAACCCUCAACUAUGUUUUGUCGUAUAUUUUACACGACAGUUGUAUAAUUAAGUUGUAUUUGAAUUUAUGUACCAUGUAUUUGGCGACUCAAGAUGGGUGAUGUAUACCUGUUUUGGGGGCGUCACAUUUUCAGCUUGUGAAGUCCCUUUAUGGAUUAAAACAAGCACCCAAACAAUGACAUGAAAAAUUUGACAGUGCAAUAUUGUCAAAUGGUUUCAAGAUAAAUGAGUGUGACAAAUGUGUGUAUGUCAAGGACACUAAGAAAUGGUAUGUCAUUAUUUUUCUUUAUGUAGAUGAUAUGCUCAUUAUGGUUAGUAAUAAUGAAAUCAUUAAAAAUACUAAAAGAAUGUUAAAUAAUAUGUUUGACAUGAAAGACAUGUUGUCGAUGUAAUAUUAGAAAUUAAAAUUUCUAAAACAUCGGAUAGGUUAGUGUUAUCACAAUCACACUAUAUUGAGAAAAUACUCAGAAAAUUCAAUUAAUACGAUUGCAAUCCCGUGGAAACACCGGUAGAUAUAAAUUUAUAUUUGUCUAAAAAUAAAGGAGAGAGCAUAUCACAACCCGAGUAUGCAUAAAUAAUUGGCAGCCUUAAUGUAAUAAAUUGUACACGUCUUGGCAUAACAUAUACUGUCAAUAAAUUGAGUAAAUUUACAAUUAAUCCAAGACAAGAUCACUAGAAAACGAUUAUAAGAGUUUUAAGGUAUUUAAAAUAAAUUCAAAACUUUGGAUUGCAAUACUCAAGAUAUCCAACAGUACUCGAAGGAUACUGUGUUGCGAACUGGAUAUUAAAAAUAAAAGACUUUAAAUCCACGAGUGGUUUUGUGUUUACACUAGGUGGAGGAGCAGUAUCAUGAAAAUCUUCUAAAAAAACAUGCAUUGCUCGAUCAACGAUGGAAUCAAAGUUUAUUGUAUUGGAUAAGGCUGGAGAAGAAGCUGAGUGGCUUCGUCACAUUUUAGAAGAUAUUCUUGUGGCCUAAACCUAUGCUGACUGUUUGUAUCCAUUGUGAUAAUCUAUCAGCAAUUGAAAGGGCACAGAGUCACAUAUAUAAUGGUAAGUCCAGACGUAUUCGUCGUAGACACAAUGUGACGCUCCCAAAAUAGGUAUACAUCACCCAUCUUGAGUCGCCAAAUACAUGGUACAUAAAUCGAAUACAACAUAAUUAUACAACUGUCGUGUAAAAUACGACAAAACAUAAACUGAGAGUUUAAACAAGAAUAUUGCCUUCUAGACAAUAUCCAUUCUCAAUGGAGUCCUCAUAGACAGUAUACAAACUCAAAUUCAGUCCUCAUUACAUUUAUUGUCACACUAUUUAAUAGAAUAGUGAGGACUACUAAUACUAUCAUCUGGACCAUCACUCCGUCCCCCGACUAGUCCCUGCUACGUUCUCAUUUCCUGAAGAGAACAGUGAAAGAAAGGGUGANNNNNNNNNNNNNNNNNNNNNNNNNNNNNNNNNNNNNNNNNNNNNNNNNNNNNNNNNNNNNNNNNNNNNNNNNNNNNNNNNNNNNNNNNNNNNNNNNNNNCCUGGUCAUAAUCAUACCAAGUCCAUCUAUGCACUACAGGCCACAGAUGACUUUCAAAAAAAUAUAAACAUGAGGAUGAUGACAAUGAUAUAAGAAUUUAAUAAAACAAGUUCACGAAUUAAUUUGUCCAGGAACCAUUAACGUCCAAAUUGUCAACAUGAUACUUCUUUGUAAAGUAAAAUUUAAGAAUGCUCAGAAGAAUAUUUUCAUGAAAAAUGCUGUAUGAAGCGCAAAUAUCAAGGAUAUUCCACUAAUUUCAUGGAGUAUAAAAGUCAAAACUUUAACCAACUGAGUAUAAUAAAGAAUGGAGUAACAAAAGAAAUCACCAUGCAUGCGGUACUUCGCAUAGACAGGUUAUUCCAACAUAAUAAUAAGUAACGAAACCAGGUCAGGCAUAAUACGCACCGACAGGAUAUUCCAACAGAAUAAUAAAGAAUGGAAUAACAACAGAAAUCACCAUGCAUGCGGUACUUCGCAUAGACAAGUUAUUCCAAUAGAAUAAUAAAGACAGGAUAAUAAAGACGGAACCAGGUCUGGUGUAAAACACACAGACAGGAUAUUUCGACAGAAUAAUAAAUGCGGAAUAAUAAAUAUGGAACCAGGUCAGGUGAAAUUCACACCGACAGGAUAUUCCGACAGAAUAAUAAAGAACGAAAUAAUAAAAGAAUUUCACCAAGUAUGCGGUACUUCGCAUAAACAGGUUAUUCCAACAUAAUAAUAAAGAAUGAAAUAACAAGAGAAGAUCACCAAGUAUUGGGUAAACCGCAUAUACAGGUCAUUCCACCAAGUAUAGGGUAAAUCGCGCAUACAAGUUAUUCCAAUAGAAUAAUAAAGAAUGGAAUAACAUAAGAAUUUCACCAAGUAUAGGGUAUGCCGCGUAUACAGGUUAUUCCAACAGAAUAAUAAGAAUGGAAUAACAUAAGAAUUUCACCAAGUAUAGGGUAUGCCGCGUAUACAGGUUAUGUAUAGGGUAUGCCACUUUUACAGGUUAUUCCAACAGAAUAAUAAAGAAUGGAAUAGCAGAAGUUCUCUUCAUGAAUAAGAAAGAAUAACACCCCUUACCGUAAAAGAUACUGGAUAUCAAAGUAGUGAAGUAGCAGAAUACUCUUCUUCUUUCUCUCUAUAAUUUCUCUCUCUAGAGUUUUAGUGAAUUCGUAAGAAAUAAUGAAGGAAUGAGCUUCUAUUUAUAGAAGAAUGGAUUGAAUAGUAACUAAUUCAUGAACGGUCCAGAUCGAUUUACUUUUAAACGAACGAUCCAGAUCGAUUUACUAUUAAAACUUAAAGCAACGGUCCAUACUGAUUUACUAUUAAAACUUUAAAACCAGCGACCCAUAUUGAUUCACUAUUAUAACUUUUCAAAAGCGGUCCUUAUUAAUUCAUUCUACCAACGGUCUGAAAAAUUAGCACAUCUCCUCAUGGAAUAAUAUUGUUCCCAAACACCCGAAUGCACAAUAAUAGAGUGAAUAGUAGCCGGGUGAAUAGUAACUAGUGAAUAGUAACUCAUGAAUAGUAACUCAUGAAUAGUAACUUCGACACAAAAAGUGUCCCAAAUACCCGAUUGAAUGAUAUAACCUUUAGACAUCAAUUACUAUCGAAAUAAAUGUUUAACACAAAUAAUUUCAACACAAUGGAACUAUCAAUUCAUCUUUAAUCAACACGAACUUAUCCAUCAUUAAUAUCAUAACUCACAAUAUUUAACAACCAGGUCGUUCCCAGGAAAGAGGAGGCUUUCCAAUAAGGAUUUCUCCCUAUUGACGAGCAAUUAGGUGACCAAACCUCUCCUUGACAGAACUUCUAGACAUAAAUAUUGUGAUUUAAUAAUAUGAAUAAUUUUUUCGUCUCAAUUAUUGAUUUAACAAUAUAACAUAUAAUGCAGAUGAUACUGUGACAAUAAUUGAAUCAAUAAUAUGAGAGAUAUGAUGCAACAAUUACUAUAGCAAUAAUUGAGUAUAACUGAGUGAUUUCUCACGUAAGCAUCAAUAAUCAAUACCGUGUGCUACUAUACAACCACGCGUAUUAUUGUACUUUUACUACCGAGUAGUUCAACAGUAUUAACGGUAAAACCUCCGCCGUUAUUUUCAUAAAAUAUUUUUGUCGUUUUCUAACUACGACAGUUCUUCUGUUGUGGGUCCACCAAUGAUUGUGCCGUCGUACGAAUAUUCCCCGAAAAAAAGAAUAUUUCCCGACCAAUCGAAUAUUUAUAACAACUUGUAUACUUUGCAAAAUUUUUAAAUACUACCCACAACUAUAACAUUAUAUCAAAUCCACACCUUAAUAUUUAAAAAAAAUAUUUCGAGAAAUUUAAAUCUUUAUUUAUAAAAUCUGGGGUCUCACACACAAUACCAUAAAAUAAUUACUCUCUAAUGGUAUUAUGUUUAUUAAGUACAUAAAGCCAAAAGAGAAUAUAUUGGAUCCGUUAACUAAAGGUUUAACUAGAAAACAAGUAAAAAUAAUAUCGAGGGGAAUGGGUUUAAAGCCUCUAAACAAGGAUCGUCAUGAUGGAAACCCAACCUAGUUGACUGGAAAUCCCAAGAUCUAGGUUCAAAGGGACAACUAAAUUGUGAACGAUUCAACCAAAUCACUAUGAAGAAAUUAAUUUCUUCUACUCAUUCCUAUGAUACAAGAUAGUGAUACCUGCAGCGGUUUCAGGAUAAGCUAUGCUUUUAAUGAUUCUUAAAAUCUUUGUAAACAAGUGGAGUAUGACAAGAUACUUUUAUUAAGAAUCACCUAUAUGAGUGUGAACUGGGUCAAUUCUAUGAGAAGGAUAAGGCUAUACAUCUCUAAAGAACUCAUAAAUUCGGGAUUAUUCAGGGCCAAAAUGAACAAAAUCAUGAGAAUCAAAUAAUGUCUAGAAAGAUUCUGUGUGAAUUAUUAUUAUCACGAUUUGCACAAACGGUUGGACAGUUCAAGACAUCACGUUCACUGGACAAUCAGUAAACUAAAUAGUCUUUCACAAGGGAAGGUUCAAAGCCAAAAGCCACCUCUCUUUAUACAGAUAAUUUUUAAUUCUGUCUCUCUCUCAGAGUCUGCAUAACAUUUGCAUAAGGCUGACAGUCAAUUUCAUUCAUAUAGGGGAUAUUAAAAUUUAAGCCUAAAUUGAGCUGGGUCUCAUUAAUUAUUUGAAAUUAUUCCACAUAUCAAUGUGUUCUACUCCAUGAGUAGAUUAAAUUAAGUAUUUGGAAGCUCAAAUCCAUAAAGUAAUGAAUAAGAAAUUUACUCUCAAAUAUCACCUUUAAAAAUGACAAUAAAUAUUUAUGGGAAGAGUCCCACAUCGGUUAAGAACUAAAGUAUUAAUUAGUUUAUAUACAUUAAAAUUGCUCUUGGGUUUGGGCCCCAAGGGGCACCCCACUUUUGUGGAAGGGAGAGGACCUAGCCAAGGCUAGGUUAGAACCCACACACGUGUCACCGCCGCUUACUGACCAGCCGGGCCGGGUUCGGGCUUGCGGUUCUAGGUCCCUGUAACUGGCGCCGGCCGACCGACCAGCAGGGUUCAGGCUCAUGGGUCUGGGUCCUUAUAUAUAAUUUUAUUUUAGUUCUAUUAUCAAAACUCUGUCGUUUUGAUAAAUCUUGUUUAUUAUCAAAACUGUGUCGUUUUAGGAAGUGCUAUUUGCCUGAACGGACACCCCAAAACUACGUCAUUUUUUCUUGAAUGAACGCGCCCUUUUCUACUAAAGCCUAAACUAUGUCAUUUUUGUUCUGUUAAGCCUAAAAAUCGUCAUUUUUGGCCCGAACGGACGCGCUCUUUUGGUUAAAACCAAAAACUACGUCAUUUUUGACUUAAAUAUGUCUUUUCAGUGGGUUGUGUCCAUUUUAAUGGGUCACUAACCCUCCUAUAAAUAGACAUAGGGGUGCAUCCUUUUCAUUCAUCCAAUUCACAAGCAUUUCAAGCAUAGUUCUUCAUUCGAGUCUUCUUCAUUUCAUAAGUCAGAGUUCUUUUAGAGAGAGAAUUUAGAGUUUUUUCUUUUGGUUCGUUGUUUAUGCUAUUUUGAGUGCUACUAUAGCAUACGUUGUCAUUGUAUCGUGGGAGACACGUGCUAUUAAAUUCUAAGCACUGUAAGGAGGGAAUAAUUAUCUUAAGGACAUAGUACAUGUGACGCCCCCAAAUUCAGACACUCAUAUCUCGAAUUUGUUACAUCUCGUACUAACUCUAAUAAUAAAUCAACAUAUCACACAACGAAAAAUAGAAAAAUUUACAUUGUCAUAACAUAAAUAUUCUCGUCUCAAAGUCUAGUAACCGUUACUACAACAUUCUAAUAAAUAAAUUUAAACAUAACUUAGUCAUCAUAAACAUAUAAAUCUUAUUACAACAUAAUAAUAUUAAACUACUAGCGCAAAAGAACAAAACUAUUCCAUAGCCAUGCCCUUACCCUUGUCCUUGCCUGAGGGUUCACCACGUUCUGCCUUAAAUGAAAGUUUUAAAGAAAGCAAGAAUGAGCAACAAAUUCGCCCAACAAGUAAUAUAGCAAUAAGGGUGAACAAUUAUAAAGUUCAAAUCUCAAGGGUAUAACCAUGAAUAAGAGUUCAAAAAUUAUCAAUAAUUCUCAAUAAGUGUCGCUAUGGACUGAAAAAUAUAUAUCAACAAGAUUCAAAGAGUUAAUCAUGUCAAGAUUCAAGAAUAAUGAACACUGAGCAGUCACUAGAGACUAAGAACUCCUGCUAGAAUUAUCAGUAUUAUACUAAAAAUCUAAUAAAAAUGAGUACAACAGGUGAUUAACCUAAGUACCCUACGUUAUGCAUAACAUUUAAACAUGCUAAUAUGUGCGCACAUCGGUUCCCCGACAACAUAUAAUUUCCCCUUCAAUGAGAGUUGUUCAUCUCAGUAGAUUUACAAGAGUUCGCACCAAGUCAAUUGGUUUGAAUAGCUUUCUAACACAUGAUAAUAUUCUAGCCGAAUCAAUGGCUUAGACAACUUUUAUAAUGCAUUUAGGAAUGGUAAUUUCAAUGCUAGCAACAACAUCAAGAUAUACAAUUGAUUUCUAAAUAGUAAUAGAUAUUUGCUCGAGGUAAAUAUGGUCAAUAUGGCAACAAUUCGAAUUAUACAAUAAGUAAAGUAUAAAGAGUUUAGGGAAUUUUCAUUCAAUAUGAAAAUCAAAUGAAGUUAGAGAACUUGCCUCAAGCGUAGUUUACCAACUCUAUAGCUUAUCAACACUUUGAAAUCCUAUUGUAACGUAGUUUAUGUAUAUAAAAUCUCUAUUAGUUACACAACUCUAUAAGUGAAUAAUCUCAUACAUGUUUGAUCACAUAAGUUAAUAACAUACAUUUAUUCUUAUCUUAAUAACGUAAAUGGAAUGUCACAUUAGUAUGCUAACAUACCGCGUAGCUAUAUAAUCAUCAUCUACUUAGCUUGUAAAAAGUAUUACAAAUUUUUUUAGAAAUCUUCGGAUUCUUGGUUUCAUAUAGCCAUUAUAUGCUAGAACACUUUAAACAUCAUGGUAAUCAUACAUGUUACAAGUUCAUAGAUUACAAACAAACCAGCAGACCAAACUGCAGGAAGGCGCAGUUGUGCCCUGGUUAGGCUUAGGGACGGUGCAGCUGCGCUGUCCCCUAGCCAGUCCAGAGUUGAGCUUUGGUCUUCCUGUGCUGUCUCAUUCCUUAACAUCCAUGGAUAUCAACACAUAACAUAAACACAUAUUAAAGAGUCUACAUGCUUUUAAGGUCCAUCCAAGUUCAACUUUGUAUGUUAUGGUUUUAGUUUGGGAUCUCUAAUGAGUUAAGGCCAAUUGAGGUCAUGAAAUCACAAGGGCUACUAUGUUUGCCAUAUAUACAUAUGAGGUAGUCAUGAAAUUAGUUAGUAUACAUGCUCACAAGGGUUUUCAUCAUAUACUCGUAUUUACUAUUGUCCAUCCUUUGAAAAACUUGUAUAACAUCAUGCUUAGAGAUCUUAUGUUAUGGCAGACUAGAUGAAUGCACAUAUAGGUCAUCAUUAGGGUAUUAGUAUACAAUCUUAGACAUUCAGAAUCUGACCAUAACAAUGUCUAUAGUACUAAUUUUCAAAAAGUCUGAGUCCAUCUUUAGAAUUUAUUUUAAACUUAAACCAUGCAUUCAAGUGAUCCCAAGACUUCUUAGAAUCACAUCUCAUGCAUUCUUAGAGCAUAUCUACAAGUCCACAAAGUCAAAAUAUACUCCACAUGGAAUUCAUGAAUAUUAGUCUCAAAUAUGUCAAUAUUUCCUUUAGAAAGUCAUCUAUCUCAACACCAAACAAGUUGGAUAUAAACCAAGGGGCUUAAGACUUUAGGUCAGACAUAUAUUUAUGAAUAUAUAAGUCAAACUAACGUGCCAAGAGUUAUCAGUUUCUUAGCAGAAGCCAAAAUUUCUGACUGGUGCCCGGUGCAGCUGCGUCAUUCUGAACUGCAGGGAGCGCGCAGCUGCGCCCUACCCUGAACAGCCUAGAAGGUCUUUGCUUCGGUAGAACACCAAUCUUAUGCACGAAAUCCUUAACAUAAGACACUCAACACCAAGUACAUUGCUUUCAUAUAUGCAUAUAAACUCAGAUAACAUACUAUCAUCAUUCAAUUAACAAUUCAUUAAUUCAUGAUAAUUUUAAAAUUUCUUAAAAAUCAAAUUUUUGAACAUAAUUAGGAAAUAUUACCUCUGUGAAGUUAAAUUUGUUAGCUGUGGCUUCCAAUUUUAGAUAGUUUGCUAACAUAGCACCCUCACACUCUAUAUGAACUUAUCAGAAGAUUUCCAGUUGUUGAAUUGAGAAGAGAAUGGUUCCAUUUAUAAACAAUGAAUUACACAGAUAAUAGUUUUGCCCACCACUUUAAACCAACGAAAAGGAGAAGAAAAUGAUGGUUAAUGGAGGUUUGGUAGCAUAGUACAAAACACUGUGAUGGCCACUCCCCAUUCAUCAUUAGCUACUAACUGAGUUUGAUUUCUUUUGCAAGAAAUAGGCUUAGGCCAUUGGCCUAUUCACGUGAAGAAGAAAAACGCGCGACGGUGAUUAUGGGACAAAUCUCUCAGUAGUUGAAAAAUGGUUAUUAACUUAUUUAAGUUUUAACUCCUUUUGGGUAUAUAAACACAAUUUUAAUGAGGUAAUAUUACUACAUUGUGAUAGGUUGGGGAUAAAUACAUUUUCAUAUAAUCCACGUACAUAAUUCUAGUCCAGCUAAUAUUUAUAACAGGGAUGAACACAAUUUAAUUGGGUAAUAAUAAUCCAAUAUUUACAUAAAACUUUAUUAUUUAAUUACACAUCAUUAUUGAAAUAAAUAUUUUAACAGUACAUAUUUAUUUACUCCCAUAUAUCAAAUACACAUUUAAUUGCUCCACCAUACAACAUGGUGUCAUAUAAGCUUCCUUAUAUAAUUUAGUGGAUGAUUCAACUUACUUUUAUUAUACAACUUCAUGUCAUACCUUAUUAUAUAUAAAAAUAUGAAUGUAGCAACUUUAUUAUAUAUUACUACAUAUUAUAUGUUAUUUCACAUAACCAACUAUUUAACAGUAAUAGGAAUUAGUUUAUCAUAUCAUUCAAUUCAUACUUCCUUUACCAUAUAGUUUUGGGGUGACAUUUAUUCACAUUUAAAUAUCACACCUUAUGCUAAGUCAAUGCAUGAAAUAAUUAUACGGUACUAUUACCUACAUGCUCCUAUAUCACACAUGGUGAUACAUAACAACAUUUAAUAAUAAUGUUCACAUUAAUAAUACUGGUAAUUAGCCCACUAUAUCACUUAUUCAAUUCCUAUUUUAUUAAUGUUAACAUCUAUCUUGGUAACUCAUGCAUAUAGCAGGAAUUAUUUCUCAAACUUUGCUACCGGCGCAGCUGCGCUGGUUUACAAUACAGAAGUGGCACAACUGUGCCACUCUAGAAAAAUCUCAUACUUGGUUACUGUAGAAUUUAGUCCAUACCCUAAAUUAAUUAUUCUCUUCAUUAUUUUAAUUAAUAGCAUACAUGUUUUAUUAUCUUGCUACACUAGGCAAUUAUUAUAAGCAUCAUCAAUCCUACCACAUUACCUUACUUGUCAUAUAGUUCUUAAACACUUAACUUAAUUGAAUAGAAUUUCUAUAACCAUGCCACAACAAUAUUUAUUUAUAUUCAAAUAAAUAUUCAUCUUUCAUUAACAUAAUUAUUAAUAUUAUUCAGAAAAUUCUCGGGUAUUACAGUACCAAGUAUUAGCCUUGACAAAUUUACUUAUGUAAUUUGAGAUAAGUUAAUAUAUAUAUAUAUAUAUAUAUAUGUAUGUAUAUAUACAGGCGUAAAGGUUCAAAAAUACCCCUGACUUUUACCCCGAUGUCUACCGAGCACCCUAUACUCUUACGUUACAUUUUUACGUUAUAGGGUGCUCGGUAGACAUCGGGGUAAAAGUCAUGGGCAUUUUUGAACCUUUGCCCAUAUAUAUUUUGACGCCCCCAAAAUAGGUAUACAUCACCCAUUCUGAGUCGCCAAAUACAUGGUACAGAAUACAACUAUAACUUAAUUAUACAACUGUUGUGUAGAAUACGACAAAACAUAGCUGAGAGUUUUUAACACGAAUAUUGUCUCCUAGACAAUAUCUAAACUCAAAUUCAAUCUCAUUACAAUUAUUAUCACACUAUUUCACAGAAUAGUGAGGACUACUAAAGUAACUAUCUGGACCGUCACUUCAUUCCCUGACUAAUUGUAAGACCCCAAAUAAUUAAUAAAUAAAAUUUAAUUUCCUCUAUUUAUUAUUUUGAAAUAGUAAGGGUUGAUUUGAUUAAUGUGGAUAGUUAUGGGUAAAAUACGCAAGUAUUUCAAAAUAAGCAAGUGGUCGUGGAAUAUUCGUAUUGUCGGGGAAUAUUCGUACGACGGCGCAGUCUUUUGUGGGCCCCAUAACGGAAAGCGAUUGGAUGAAGAAAAGGACAAAUAUAAGUUGUUUAAAAAUAACGGCGUAGUUAUUACCGUUAAUACUGUUAAAAUACUCGGUGGUUAAAAUGCAGUAGCACACGGUAUUGCACCAAUUAUUGAUUCUUACGUAAGAAGGCACUACUCAAUAAUGGUUACAGUAAUUACUAUUUAGUAUUUUAUUUUAUUGAUUUAAUAAUUGCUGCGUUGAUAUUUUAUAUUGCUGUUGUUUCAAUAAUUGUCAUUACACAGUAUUUUUUAUUAUCGAAGCAAUAAUUCAUAUUAUCUGAAUAAUAUUAUUAGAUAACAUUAUUGGCAAUGUCUAGAAAGUUCUGUCUAAGGAGAGGUUUGGUCACCUAAUUGCGCGCCAGUAAGGAGAAAUUCUUAUUGGAAAGCCCCCUCUUUCCUGGGAACUGCCUGGUUGUCAAUAUUGUGAUUCUGUAAUAUUAUUUGUGAAUAAUUAAUUAUUGAUUCAUAUGAUGAGGAAAAUAUUGAUUUUAUGUGGAUAUAGAUGGAGAAAAUUUUUAAUGUGACAAUUGUUGAAAAUUGAAAUUUUAUCUUUUUCUGAUAAAAUAAUUCAUUUAAAUAUAUAUAUUAUUAUAUUUUAAUAAUAUAAUAAUGGUGAUAUUUUUACAACGAAUGUGGGAUAUAUGAGUAUACGAGGAGGAAGAGUAUUUUUGUUGCAAUAAAUGUUUAAAACAUGUUAAACAUGUCGGUGGACCCCAUUUAUUGACUGAAAUUUGAUUAUAGCCUCUAAAAUCGCCCGUUUGUGGAUUUCGGUCAAUUUCUGUUUGGAAUUUGGAAAAACUUUCUUCUGCAAAGUUGUAGAGAAUUGAAUUUCCUAUAAAAACUCGCGAGAUUCGAAUUUUCUGAUAAAAGGGCUAUUUAUUAUGAAUUAUUGAAGUUCCGAAGCUCCGAAAUAAUUGAUUUUUGGAAGUUUAAAAUAUUUUAAAUUAGAAAAACGUUUUUUUUAUUUUUUUCUAGAAGGUUGGCAUGUGUGAAUUGCUGAGAUUAAGAUUUCAAGGAAUACGUAUAAUAUUUUUAUAUAUAUUAAUAUUAUAUUAAAUUUUCUGCUUUGGUGUUCUAAGCAAUUUCCUAUAAAUAGGUGCUUAGGUUAGAAUUGAAAAUCACACCAGAAACUGAAGUUUUCUCUCUCUAUAUUAUCGAGCGUAUUCUUGUGAGUAUUUUGAGUAUACUUUGAGUAUUGCUAUACGGUGAAAGUUCAAGUUAUAGCCUAUAUCCAGUAUUCCAGUUAGAAGUACUGUCUUUCCGAGGUAAGGGAUAUUAUUUUUUUUCGUAAUGAUAUUAUUUCUUCAAUAUCAUUAUGCUGAAAUAUUGAUCUGAAGUUUUUAUCAAAUUUGGAACUUUUGGUGUCGGAGUUACUAUUCACGUAUACGGCACUAUUCACGUAUACGGUACUAUUCACGAAUACGGCACUAUUCAUCGAAAAAUGAAAAUUUUUCUUUUCGUCCAAAAUAUCUAUUGUGGAUACUAGCUUUGAUUGUAUCCAUGUUUUGAUCAUUCUUGAAUUUUACACCACUAUGAUUAUUUUUGAGGUAUUUUUGGACGUGGAUAAAACAAAGUACGAAUCCUUAAUCCUUAAUCCUUGUCAUUUUGUUUCACUGGAUUCGUUUCUUUAAAAAAAAAAUUUUUUUCAUCAUCCUCAGUCUUAAAUGAUGAUAUUAUUGAAUAUCUUUGGCCUGUAGUGCAAAGAUGAAUGAUUUCUGAUGAAUAUCUUUGGCCCGUAGUGCAAAGAUGAACAGGUGUUUAGAUGAACAUGACCAACUGAUGAAUAUCUUUGGCCUGUAGUGCAAAGAUGAAUAUUUGAUUCCAGAUAUAUAUUGAUUGAUGUUACAGGGAUAAAAGAUAGACGAUGAACUUUUAAAUUCAUACAUAGAAGAUAGUAGUUUGCAUUCUCUACUUAACUCUUCUAAUGAAUUAUUAUUUCCGCUGCGAAUAUUGAUUUAAAACUUGUUGUCUAUUGUAUUCUAUUAGAUUUUUCCCUGUUGAAGACUAACGAUAAUUUGUUGUAUAUUAUCUUAGUCAUAAUAUUCUUUACUGGGCUAGUUGAGCUCACCCUUUUCCUUUUUGUUCCAUUUUUCUUCUCAGGAGGCGAGAAUAUAGCGAGUACGAGUCGGGGUAUGGAAUGAAGGUUCUAGAGAGAGUUGUUUAGUAG
rnacentral:lncRNA from 1 species